rnacentral:misc_RNA from 1 species
UCCGGUUCACCACCGGCAGUCUCCUUAGAGUGCUCAACUUUACUUGCUAGCAACUAAGGACAAGGGUUGCGCUCGUUACGGGACUUAACCCAACAUCUCACAACACGAGCUGACGACAGCCAUGCAGCACCUGUCUCUGAGCUCCUUUCGGCACCCCAAUCUCUCAAUCGGGUUCUCAGGAUGUCAAGAGUAGGUAAGGUUCUUCGCGUUGCAUCGAAUUAAACCACAUGCUCCACCGCUUGUGCGGGCCCCCGUCAAUUCCUUUGAGUUUCAACCUUGCGGCCGUACUCCCCAGGCGGAAAACUUAUCGCGUUAGCUUCGCUACUCAGGAGUUUUACCUCCCAAACAGCUAGUUUUCAUCGUUUACAGCGUGGACUAC